GAUGAACGCUGGCGGCGUGCCUAAUACAUGCAAGUCGAGCGAACAGACGAGGAGCUUGCUCCUCUGACGUUAGCGGCGGACGGGUGAGUAACACGUGGAUAACCUACCUAUAAGACUGGGAUAACUUCGGGAAACCGGAGCUAAUACCGGAUAAUAUAUUGAACCGCAUGGUUCAAUAGUGAAAGACGGUUUUGCUGUCACUUAUAGAUGGAUCCGCGCCGCAUUAGCUAGUUGGUAAGGUAACGGCUUACCAAGGCAACGAUGCGUAGCCGACCUGAGAGGGGGAUCGGCCACACUGGAACUGAGACACGGUCCAGACGCCUACGGGAGGCAGCAGUCGGGAAUCUUACGCAAUGGGCGAAAGCCUUACGGAGCAACGCCGCGUGAGUGAUGAAGGUCUUCGGAUCGUAAAACUCUGUUAUUAGGGAAGAACAAAUGUGUAAGUAACUAUGCACGUCUUGACGGUACCUAAUCAGAAAGCCACGGCUAACUACGUG
rnacentral:rRNA from 1 species